rnacentral:misc_RNA from 1 species
AGCAGCCGCGGUAAUUCCAGCUCCAAUAGCGUAUAUUAAAGUUGUUGCAGUUAAAAAGCUCGUAGUUGAAUUUCGGGGUUAGUAGGUUGGUCAUGCCUCUGGUAUGUACUGGUCUCACUGAUUCCUCCUUCCUGAUGAGCCGUAAUGCCAUUAAUUUGGUGUUGCGGGGAAUUUGGACUGUUACUUUAGAAAAAUUAGAGUGUUUAAAGCAAGCUAACGCUUGAAUACAUUAGCAUGGAAUAAUGAAAUAGGACGUUCGAUCCUAUUUUGUUGGUUUCUAGGAUUGACGUAAUGAUUAAUAGGGAUAGUUGGGGGCAUUAGUAUUCAAUUGUCAGAGGUGAAAUUCUUGGAUUUAUUGAAGACUAACUACUGCGAAAGCAUUUGCCAAGGAUGUUUUCAUUAAUCAAGAACGAAAGUUAGGGGAUCGAAGACGAUCAGAUACCGUCGUAGUCUUAACCAUAAACUAUGCCGACUAGGGAUCGGAUGAUGUUAAUUUUUAAUGACUCAUUCGGCGCCUUAA